UUUAAAUGUGUGCACGAGAGUGGCGAGUAGCUGGCGCGCGGGGAUAGCCGUUGGUGAUUUCAGCAAUAGCUUCUCAGGAAAUAUUUUACGAAUGUCUUAAAGUUAAAAUACAACAUACAUCAUGAGGUUUGAUAAUUUAUGCCUUCUGCUUUUCUAUUAUCCGAACUAAUUAACUAGAAUUAAUAAGUUAAUUGGACGUGACCCAUUACGUCACCAGAACGACUUGAAUGUAAGAACACAAGAGAUGCAGAGGACAAAGGUGAUCCCAAACGCCGUGUGGCGCAGCAUACAGGACCAGUGAGAGGGUCGGCCGAUGAAAAAUACAAGAGAUGCAGAGGACAAAGGUGAUCCCAAACGCCGUGUGGCGCAGCAUACAGGACCAGUGAGAGGGUCGGCCGAUGAAACAGCUGUGGGUGUUCUGCCUUGCCCAGCAGCUGACAUGGCAGGAUCCCUGAUGUCACCUGUGGGGAACUACUAUUAGGUCAGGUGAUGUGUCUUCCAGAUGGGUUCUUUCCACCGCUGUAUCAGUGUUUAGAGCAUUCUCCCUGAGGGGGCACCUCCAGAAGAGAGAACUUGCAGUCGCAAACAAAGAACUGCUCGUCUGAAUCAUGGUUUAAAUAUUAUGAAAUAACAUUUUGGUAUGAAAUUACAGAAGAGCAAACCAGAGCUUGAGGCUAAAAUGGCAAAUAUUUCCACAGCCACGGUGAACUUCCCAGGUGAGCUGACAUAAGCUGGGAUAAAGGCGACCCAGACAGCACAGAAUAUGAGCAUGCUGAAGGUGAUGAAUUUGGCUUCAUUGAAGUUGUCAGGCAGCUUCCUGGCCAGAAAAGCCAGUACAAAGCACAGGGCAGAGAGGAGACCAAUGUACCCCAGCACAGCCCAGAAGCCCACUGCUGACCCC